AGAGUUUGAUCCUGGCUCAGGACGAACGCUGGCGGCGUGCUUAACACAUGCAAGUCGACGGAAAGGCCCUUCGGGGUACUCGAGCGGCAAACGGGUGAGUAACACGUGAGUAACCUGCCCCUGACUCUGGGAUAAGCCUGGGAAACUGGGUCUAAUACCGGAUACGACCUCCUGCGGCAUCGUGGGUGGUGGAAAGUUUUUCGGUUGGGGAUGGGCUCGCGGCCUAUCAGCUUGUUGGUGGGGUAGUGGCCUACCAAGGCGACGACGGGUAGCCGGCCUGAGAGGGCGACCGGCCACACUGGGACUGAGACACUGCCCAGACUCCUACGGGAGGCAGCAGUGGGAAUAUUGCGCAAUGGGCGGAAGCCUGACGCAGCGACGCCGCGUGGGGGAUGACGGCCUUCGGGUUGUAAACCUCUUUCAGCAGGGACGAAGUUGACGUGUACCUGCAGAAGAAGCGCCGGCUAACUACGUGCCAGCAGCCGCGGUAAUACGUAGGGCGCAAGCGUUGUCCGGAAUUAUUGGGCGUAAAGAGCUCGUAGGUGGCUGGUCACGUCUGCCGUGAAAGCCCGCAGCUUAACUGCGGGUCUGCGGUGGAUACGGGUCGGCUAGAGGUAGGUAGGGGCAAGUGGAAUUCCUGGUGUAGCGGUGAAAUGCGCAGAUAUCAGGAGGAACACCGGUGGCGAAGGCGGCUUGCUGGGCCUUACCUGACGCUGAGGAGCGAAAGCGUGGGGAGCGAACAGGAUUAGAUACCCUGGUAGUCCACGCUGUAAACGUUGGGCGCUAGGUGUGGGGAUCUUCCACGAUCUCCGUGCCGGAGCUAACGCAUUAAGCGCCCCGCCUGGGGAGUACGGCCGCAAGGCUAAAACUCAAAGGAAUUGACGGGGGCCCGCACAAGCGGCGGAGCAUGUUGCUUAAUUCGACGCAACGCGAAGAACCUUACCAAGGUUUGACAUCACCCGGAAACGCUCAGAGAUGGGCGCCUCUUCGGACUGGGUGACAGGUGGUGCAUGGCUGUCGUCAGCUCGUGUCGUGAGAUGUUGGGUUAAGUCCCGCAACGAGCGCAACCCUUGUUCCAUGUUGCCAGCACGCUCCUUCGGGGGUGGUGGGGACUCAUGGGAGACUGCCGGGGUCAACUCGGAGGAAGGUGGGGAUGACGUCAAGUCAUCAUGCCCCUUAUGUCUUGGGCU
rnacentral:rRNA from 1 species